GCCGGGGGACAGGAUGACCACUCUUUUUUCCCCAUCAGAUCGACAAUGCUGAUGGCUUAUGCACUUUGCCAGUUGGUUCUGAUCGCACCGGC
ensembl:snoRNA SNORD12C small nucleolar RNA, C/D box 12C